rnacentral:lncRNA from 1 species
GGCCUAAUGCCAAUCUCUCGCCAACUUCACUCCAAUAAAGUGGCGAUCUACACUUCCGUCCAUAAAGUGCUUCGAAGGGCGCCAUCUUGAUGCUUGCUUGAUAACUGUUGUUAUAAGCAAAUUCCGCCAUCGGUAGAUGCUGCGACCAUCCUCCCUGGAAGUCUAUCACACAUGCUCGGAGCAUAUCCUCUAAGGUCUGAAUAGU